GAUGAAGAACGCAGUGAAAUGCGAUAACUAGUGUGAAUUGCAGAAUUCCGUGAAUCAUCGAGUCUUUGAACGCACAUUGCGCCCCCUGGUAUUCCGGGGGGCAUGCCUGUCCGAGCGUCAUUGCUGCCCAUCAAGCACGGCUUGUGUGUUGGGUCGACGUCCCCUCUCCGGGGGGGACGGGCCCCAAAGGCAGCGGCGGCACCGCGUCCGAUCCUCGAGCGUAUGGGGCUUUGUCACCCGCUCUGUAGGCCCGGCCGGCGCUUGCCGAACGCAAAUCAAUCUUUUUCCAGGUUGACCUCGGAUCAGGUAGGGAUACCCGCUGAACUUAAGCAUAUCAAUAAGCGGAGGA
rnacentral:misc_RNA from 1 species